rnacentral:misc_RNA from 1 species
GAACUGCGAUAAGUAAUGUGAAUUGCAGAAUUCAGUGAAUCAUCGAGUCUUUGAACGCACAUUGCGCCCCCUGGCAUUCCGGGGGGCAUGCCUGUCCGAGCGUCAUUGCUGCCCUUCAAGCCCGGCUUGUGUGUUGGGUCGUCGUCCCCUCCGGGGGACGGGCCCGAAAGGCAGCGGCGGCACCUCGUCCGGUCCUCGAGCGUAUGGGGCUUUGUCACCCGCUCGAUAAGGACCGGCCGGGCGCCAGCCGGCGUCUCCAACCUUUUUUUCUCAGGUUGACCUCGGAUCAGGUAGGGAUACCCGCUGAACUUAAGC